ACAGUUUUCUCCUUUCAAGAAGGUGGAAUACGAUGACUUCAGCAGAUGCUUCCUCCUAGGAAAGUGUUUGUCCUGGGACCUGUGCGGAGACCAAGGGGGUUGGAAGGAGAAGGAGCUGGCUUGGGAGGUUUUGUCUGCUGGGCAGGCACUGACCUCCUCUUCAGAGAAAUUACAACGGAAACGAGAAAUGUUAUGAACCAGAUGCCGAAAAAGUCCCAGUGGCAAGAAUCAGAAGAGGGCACAAAGGUGUGCUUUUAUUUAAAAACUACAUGAGAAACAGACUUAUUGGAAGAAAUGCCUUUUUUUUAUUACAUCCUCUUAACAACCAAGCUAGUAAUCUAGCUCAAGUUGGCAAUAUGGCCCGCUAAAAGUCCUUGGGGGACAUGCACUAAUGGGCAGAUGAGAGUGACUUGUUGACACCUUCAUUGUUUUCAUCCUACACUGGACAUCAGUCGUUUGGCCCAUUUUUCAGAGACCCACUUGAACUGUCUGAACCUAUGAACUUCCCGAAAGUCUGGCCACCAAACUGCAUUAGGAGAGUCAUGGCUGCACAACCGAAGGGCAUUCAUUUUAUUCCCUGCCUUGGUGCAAGGGUCUCCCCAAACCAAGAUGGACACAUGUACUUCCUUUCAAGAGGCCACAAACAAGAACAUUUCAUUCCAUUCUGAGAUAAUGAUCCUAAUUGGUUAAAAUCACUUCAGAAUUUGCUUGUCUUCUUAUUAGUACAGAGACCAGAGUGGAGCUUUAUUAAGAAAAAUGUGAUUUUGAUACCCCAUUCUCCAUGAUGUGCUUAUUUCACAUUGCAUGCCUAUAUCAAAACAUUGCAUGUACCCCAUAAAUGUAUACACCUACUAUGUACCCACAAAAAUGAAAAAUAAAAAAUAGAGAAUAAGCUACAAAAAUU
rnacentral:lncRNA from 10 species